CCAACUUCAUGGCCAUUCACCUCUUUAAUAAUAUCACCUACGUGCAGAAGACCUUGUCGAUCUAUCAUUCCACCAUGGAGAAUUCGUGCUAUUACCAGAUCAUUGUUCUCAACUCUGAACGUAACACCCUGAAAGAGAUCCCUUCUUGCAGAAUUUGGAACAUGUCUCCCUGGAACAAAUGAGGCAGAAAGGAUAGCAAUUCUGUAGUAAUUAGUUAUUUUUCUAUUUCCCCAUUAGAGAGGGAGACAUAGAGUCUCCCCAAGACUCAAGAAGAGAAUUGUAUCCACAUCCUGGACUGCAAAUUUUCUUAGAAGUUCUUCUAGAGUGGUCUUUACUAUGAUAUCAGUUAAAUAAAAACCCUUGAAAUUA